rnacentral:ribozyme from 14 species
GCAAUAUUAGGUGCAGGCGACAGACUGUCAUGUUUUUUCUUUUUCUUCUUCUUCUUUUCCUUUCUCCUUCUAUGAUUCG